GAUGAACGCUGGCGGCGUGCCUAAUACAUGCAAGUCGAGCGAACAGACGAGGAGCUUGCUCCUUCGACGUUAGCGGCGGACGGGUGAGUAACACGUAGGUAACCUACCUAUAAGACUGGGAUAACUUCGGGAAACCGGAGCUAAUACCGGAUAAUAUUUCGAACCGCAUGGUUCGAUAGUGAAAGAUGGCUUUGCUAUCACUUAUAGAUGGACCUGCGCCGUAUUAGCUAGUUGGUAAGGUAACGGCUUACCAAGGCAACGAUACAUAGCCGACCUGAGAGGGUGAUCGGCCACACUGGAACUGAGACACGGUCCAGACUCCUACGGGAGGCAGCAGUAGGGAAUCUUCCGCAAUGGGCGAAAGCCUGACGGAGCAACGCCGCGUGAGUGAUGAAGGUCUUCGGAUCGUAAAACUCUGUUAUUAGGGAAGAACAAACGUGUAAGUAACUGUGCACGUCUUGACGGUACCUAAUCAGAAAGCCACGGCUAACUACGUG
rnacentral:rRNA from 1 species